UACGUAGGGUCCGAGCGUUAUCCGGAAUCAUUGGGCGUAAAGAGCUCGUAGGCGGUUCAGCAAGUCGGCUGUGAAAGUCCGGGGCUCAACCCCGGAAUUGCAGUCGAUACUGCUGUGACUCGAGUCCGGUAGAGGAGAACGGAAUUCCCGGUGUAGCGGUGAAAUGCGCAGAUAUCGGGAGGAACACCAGUAGCGAAGGCGGUUCUCUGGGCCGGCACUGACGCUGAAGAGCGAAAGCGUGGGGAGCAAACAGG
rnacentral:rRNA from 1 species